GGGACUUGAUGAAGUACUUGAGAGAACGAAGACGAGUUAACCACCGACGCUAACAAGAAGGAACUAGCCUAACCAGGUUGAUAACUUGCCAGUCUCUAGAUUAACUAAGAAUUAUUCAAGAUCUUGCUUCACAAUUUGGAUCCUCUCACGCAUUGUUCUGAUCUUUCUCAUGAUAGGGCUAUUAUAUUGUUUAUAUUGGGAACAAAAAUGCCUUUAAACUUAAUCAAGUUGAUUUUUGACAAGAUCAUCUAUGAAGGGCCAAAGAGAGCCAAACAGAAUAAAAUCCAAUAUCCGAAUAUAAUCAUCACUUCCUCUUUGAUUUGGAGAUCUUGCCCUACCAUCUAAUCAAUUUCUACAUUGAUUCUAGGACUUAGAUUGACAGAGUUUAGUAAUAGGGAUGGCAUCCCAACUUCUAUCCUUAGGGUAUCUAGGAAUACUCCUUUCCAUGACAUUUCGAAACGACUCGAAGUGUUCGAAAAUCAGCUAGGCAUUGUGAAAAAUUAGGUUGGGAAAAUCCUACUCUGUAACCAGAAAUUUUCUAAUGAGCUCAUGCUUGUGUGCAGUUAGUAGAGUCCCUGGCCUAUCUUGGUGUUCAUGAAUUAAACGGCCAAGAAGUUAGUAUUCAGCCAUCUACUGCUAGUAGUCCCUCUCAGAACGUACCAGAAUUGCAGGGUUCUGACUUACCUCCUCCAAGACAUACUGGCGAUAGUUAGCAUGUAGACCCUGCUCCAUCUCGCAAGUGUGGUGGUGAGGGAAAAUCAUCUGAGACUAAGUAAGCCAAAAAGCAAUGAUGGCUGGUUAUACUUCUCUAACUUCUAAACUAUUUGCUUUAGCUAUUUCGUGGAUUGUAGAACUUAAACUAACUAUUUGAUAUAUAUUCUCAGUUGAUGGUUUGCUUAUUUCCUCGUCGUUAUAGUGGG
rnacentral:lncRNA from 1 species